rnacentral:rRNA from 1 species
GCUGGCGGCGUGCCUAACACAUGCAAGUCGAACGCGAACGCCCCGCAGGGGGCAAGUAGAGUGGCAAACGGGUGAGUAACACGUGGGUGACCUGCCUUCGAGCGGGGGAUAACGUCCCGAAAGGGACGCUAAUACCGCAUAACAUCCUGCCUUUGAAGAGGUGGAGAUCAAAGCUGGGGAUCGCAAGACCCGGCACUUGAAGAGGGGCCCGCGUCUGAUUAGCUAGUUGGUGGGGUAAUGGCCUACCAAGGCAACGAUCAGUAUCCGGCCUGAGAGGGCGGACGGACACACUGGGACUGACACACCGCCCACACUCCUACGGGAGGCAGCAGUGGGGAAUUGUUCGCAAUGGGCGCAAGCCUGACCACGCACCGCCGCGUGGAGGAUGAAUAUUUUCGGAUCGUAAACUCCUGUCGAAUGGGACAAACAGAUUACGGGUUAACAGCCCGUACUCCUGACGGUACCGUUAGAGGAAACCCCGGCUAACUCCGUGCCAGCAGCCGCGGUAAUACGGGGGGGGUAAGCGUUGUUCAGUAUUACUGGGCGUAAAGGGCUCGUAGGCGGCCAACUAAGUCAUACGUGACAUCCCUCAUCUUAACUGGGGAACUGCGUGUGAUACUGGAUGGCUUGUAUUUGGGAGAGGGAUGCAUAUUUCCAGGUGUAGCGGUGAAAUGCAUA